AUCUGGGCGGCGGAUUCAGGACGGUCGGGCGGGCGUCGCGCUCGUCGGGCCGUUUGAUAUUUCCGUCGCCGUGUCAGACGUCGCGACCUGUUCGUCGUCGGUCCUUGCUCGGAGGAAGCGCGAUCGAGUUCGUUGCGGACGCGUUUCGGCGCGUUCCGCGGCGAAGACGCGACUCUCUGGCUGAUGGCGGACAGUAAGCAACGGUGUCCGGCGUCGUGUCACGCACUCGACGCUCGGUGCCGGUCGGCGACGAUUUCUUCGGGCCUCUUUCCGACCCGUCUUGAAACACGGACCAAGGAGUCUAACAUGCGCGCGAGUCGCGGGGUUUCGAGCGUGCCACGGUGCGCUCGUCACUUCCGAAACCCGUACGUUGAAGGCGUAAUGAAAGUGAACAGGGAAGAUGGCGUUCCGAGUCCACGUACCGUGAUCGAGUAUCGCGGCCGGACGUCCGCACUCCCGGGGCGUCUCAAUGGCUCGCCGCGGAUGCGGACGGUCGUCUCUUCGGGGGCGGCCGUCGGUCUGUGGCGGUCCGA
rnacentral:rRNA from 1 species